rnacentral:rRNA from 1 species
GACGAACGCUGGCGGCGUGCUUAACACAUGCAAGUCGAACGGAAAGGCCCUGCUUUUGUGGGGUGCUCGAGUGGCGAACGGGUGAGUAACACGUGAGUAACCUGCCCUUGACUUUGGGAUAACUUCAGGAAACUGGGGCUAAUACCGGAUAGGAGCUCCUGCUGCAUGGUGUGGGUUGGAAAGUUUCGGCGGUUGGGGAUGGACUCGCGGCUUAUCAGCUUGUUGGUGGGGUAGUGGCUUACCAAGGCUUUGACGGGUAGCCGGCCUGAGAGGGUGACCGGCCACAUUGGGACUGAGAUACGGCCCAGACUCCUACGGGAGGCAGCAGUGGGGAAUAUUGCACAAUGGGCGGAAGCCUGAUGCAGCAACGCCGCGUGCGGGAUGACGGCCUUCGGGUUGUAAACCGCUUUCGCCUGUGACGAAGCGGGAGUGACGGUAAUGGGUAAAGAAGCACCGGCUAACUACGUG